rnacentral:rRNA from 1 species
AUUGAACGCUGGCGGCAUGCCUUACACAUGCAAGUCGAACGGCAACGGGCCUUCGGGUGCCGACGAGUGGCGAACGGGUGAGUAAUGUAUCGGAACGUACCUUUCAGUGGGGGAUAACGUAGCGAAAGUUACGCUAAUACCGCAUAUUCUGUGAGCAGGAAAGCAGGGGAUCGCAAGAACUUGCGCUGAUUGAGCGGCCGAUAUCAGAUUCGCUAGUUGGUGAGGUAAAGGCUCACCAAGGCGACGAUCUGUAGCGGGUCUGAGAGGAUGAUCCGCCACACUGGAACUGAGACACGGUCCAGACUCCUACGGGAGGCAGCAGUGGGGAAUUUUGGACAAUGGGGGCAACCCUGAUCCAGCCAUGCCGCGUGAGUGAAGAAGGCCUUCGGGUUGUAAAGCUCUUUCGGCCGGGAAGAAAUCGUAUCAGCUAAUACCUGGUGCGGAUGACGGUACCGGCAUAAGAAGCACCGGCUAACUACGUGCCAGCCGCCGCCGUAAGAC